CGUAACAAGGUCUCCGUAGGUGAACCUGCGGAGGGAUCAUUA
rnacentral:rRNA from 32 species